UACGGAGGGGACUAGCGUUGUUCGGAAUUACUGGGCGUAAAGCGCGCGUAGGUGGAUUUGCAAGUCGGGGGUGAAAUCCCGAGGCUCAACCUCGGAACUGCCUUCGAUACUGCAAAUCUCGAGUCCGGAAGAGGUGAGUGGAAUUCCUAGUGUAGAGGUGAAAUUCGUAGAUAUUAGGAAGAACACCAGUGGCGAAGGCGGCUCACUGGUCCGGUACUGACGCUGAGGCGCGAAAGCGUGGGGAGCAAACAGG
rnacentral:rRNA from 1 species